UACGUAGGGGGCAAGCGUUGUCCGGAAUCAUUGGGCGUAAAGAGCGCGUAGGCGGCCCGAUAAGUCCGCUGUGAAAGUCAAGGGCUCAACCCUUGAAUGCCGGUGGAUACUGUCGGGCUAGAGUCCGGAAGAGGCGAGUGGAAUUCCUGGUGUAGCGGUGAAAUGCGCAGAUAUCAGGAGGAACACCAAUGGCGAAGGCAGCUCGCUGGGACGGUACUGACGCUGAGGCGCGAAAGCUAGGGGAGCAAACGGG
rnacentral:rRNA from 1 species